AAUACUCUUUUUGGGAAUAGGGCAGUUGAGCUGAAGAGAGGUCAGCGAGGACUAAGAAAGAGUCGAAGGUCGAAAGACCCCAAGAAAGGUGGCCCCACUUCCAUCGAUUCGGACACUUCCUCUCGCUCGUUCUGUAACCAUGAUUAAUGCCUGAAGAUUGAUCCUUCGUUUCAGUUCACAGCGAUUUCUCAAACUCUCAUUGAGUUGGAAGUACCACGGCUUCCUGCUUUCUCAAUUCCUCCGCUUAUCCUCGUUCGACGAAAUUCCAUGGCUCCAGCGGCAGCAGCGUCCUCAGAUUCUAUUAAACCUCGAGAUAUUUGUAUUGUUGGUGCUGCACGUACGCCCAUGGGUGGUUUUCUUGGUUCCCUUUCAUCUCUAUCAGCUACCAGGCUGGGUUCUAUAGCUAUUGAAUUUGCUCUUAAGAGGGCGAAUAUUGAUCCAUCACUCGUGCAAGAGGUCUUCUUUGGGAAUGUUCUUAGUGCAAAUUUAGGGCAAGCUCCUGCUAGACAAGCUGCAUUAGGUGCAGGCAUACCCAAUUCUGUCAUCUGCACCACCAUUAACAAAGUUUGUGCCUCAGGGAUGAAAGCAACCAUGCUAGCAGCUCAAAGCAUCCAUUUGGGUAUCAAUGAUCUAGUUGUUGCUGGUGGCAUGGAAAGCAUGUCUAAUGCACCUAAGUAUCUAGUAGAAGCAAGAAAAGGUUCUCCACUAGGCCAUGACACUAUUGUCGAUGGCAUGCUCAAAGAUGGAUUAUGGGAUGUUUACAAUGAUUUUGGAAUGGGAGCUUGUGCAGAAAUAUGUGCUCAUCAACAUACUAUUACAAGAGAAGAGCAGGAUGCUUAUGCUAUUCAGAGCUUUGAGCGUGGUAUUGCUGCACAAAAUGGUGGUGCCUUUGCGUGGGAAAUAAUUCCGGUUGAAGUUUCUGGUGGAAGAGGGAAUUCAUUGACCAUUGUUGAUAGGGACGAAGGUCUAGGAAAGUUUGAUGCUGCAAAGCUAAGGAAGCUUCGACCAAGUUUUAAGGAGGAUGGGGGUUCUGUUACAGCUGGCAAUGCUUCUAGCAUUAGUGAUGGUGCGGCAGCAUUAGUGCUUGUCAGUGGAGAGAAGGCAACUAAGCUUGGAUUGCAAGUGAUUGCUAAAAUCUCUGGAUAUGCUGAUGCAGCUCAGGCUCCUGAGUUAUUUACAACUACCCCAGCCCUUGCAAUACCAAAAGCUAUUUCAAAUGCUGGCUUGGAGGCUUCUCAAAUUGAUUACUACGAAAUAAAUGAAGCCUUUUCUGUUGUAGCACUUGCCAAUCAAAAGUUGCUUGGUCUCAAACCUGGAAAACUCAAUGCCCAUGGUGGUGCAGUAUCUUUGGGACAUCCUUUAGGUUGCAGUGGAGCUCGUAUUUUGGUCACACUGUUAGGAGUCCUAAGACAAAAGAAUGCGAAGUAUGGGGUUGGAAGUAUCUGCAAUGGAGGAGGAGGGGCAUCUGCCCUUGUUCUAGAGCUCAUUGUAUUCCUAUCUUUGCAGAUCGUGUUAAGUACAGGUUCAAGUGACAAACAUGAAGUAUUGGAUCAAAGGCCAAUUGCAAGGGUUGGACAUUCUUUGUUAUGAAACUAGCUUCUUCAUUUAUGUUGUUGCAGCAGCUGGAAGUUGUACAAUAAUGUCUUCCUGGUUUUUUUAUAACUUUACUGCCCUGAGAAAGGGUGUGUUUAGGAUUUGGGUAAAAUUCCUUCCAAUAAGAAAACCCUCUCCAUUGCUCGAGGUCCUAUAAUUACCAAAUCCCAAGCAAGAGUGAUGGAUCAUCAGGACAUGCAAAAAGCAGAAGAAUCAAUUGAAAAAAAGUUUGAAGCCCUCGAAAAGUCAUUGUCAGAUAUAAUGGCCCUGCUAAAGGUCGUUAUGGACCACACUUCUACAGCCUUGCUGAAACACUAGUUGAGAGACUCUUCUUUCUGAUUUCUUGUCCCACCAGCGCCAACACUAAAGGCUCCUAUGAUAGAGGAAUUCUCAAUCAAUGAUCGCAUAGAAUAUUAGGAAGAAUUGCUACAAACCUUACGAGGGACACAUGAUGUAAUAACCCGAACCUAGAAAAUAAAAGAAAAAGAAAAAAAUAAAGAAAAGAGAAGAAAAGAAAAAGGAAGGACAAAGGGUUUGGCCAGGACCAAACCGUUGACUGUUUCGUGGGACUCAGAAAAAUUGUCGACGUUUUUCCUGCAAGGCAAACUACCGAGAGCGUUUAAGUGUCAAACCGUCGAUGGUUUCGUCAAGUACAGAAAAAACCAUUGACGGUUUCGUGCGGGGGCAGAGUCCAUAAGUUAAGUAUUAUGUUUUCUAUUUCA